UGAUUAGCUGGUGGGCGGGGUAAAGGCCCACCAAGGCGACGAUCAGUAGCCGGCCUGAGAGGGUGAACGGCCACAUUGGGACUGAGACACGGCCCAAACUCCUACGGGAGGCAGCAGUGGGGAAUAUUGCACAAUGGGGGAAACCCUGAUGCAGCGACGCCGCGUGAGUGAAGAAGUAUUUCGGUACGUAAAGCUCUAUCAGCAGGGAAGAAAAUGACGGUACCUGACUAAGAAGCCCCGGCUAACUACGUGCCAGCAGCCGCGGUAAUACGUAGGGGGCAAGCGUUAUCCGGAUUUACUGGGUGUAAAGGGAGCGUAGACGGCAGCGCAAGUCUGGAGUGAAAUCCCAUGGCUUAACCAUGGAACUGCUUUGGAAACUGUGCAGCUGGAGUGCAGGAGAGGUAAGCGGAAUUCCUAGUGUAGCGGUGAAAUGCGUAGAUAUUAGGAGGAACACCAGUGGCGAAGGCGGCUUACUGGACUGUAACUGACGUUGAGGCUCGAAAGCGUGGGGAGCAAACAGGAUUAGAUACCCUGGUAGUCCACGCCGUAAACGAUGAUUACUA
rnacentral:rRNA from 1 species